rnacentral:misc_RNA from 1 species
CCAGAGUUGAAAAACUCCCAAACACUUGUGAACCUACCAUUGUUGCUUCGGCGGGUGGCCUUAGGGGCUUCUGUCCCUGUGGUCGCUCGCCGGAGGUCCAAACUCGAUAUGUUAUUUUGUCUCUCUGAUAAAUAAAAAAAACAAGUUA